GCUGGCCCCGCCCACACACAGCUUGCACACACUUCAGCCCUCCCAUCCACACACGUCUGGGGUGCAGAGCGCAGCCAGGCCCGCCAAGCAUGAGGCAGGGUUGAAUUCUGCCCCCACACCAAGACGCAAAAGAGGGAGAGUCAGGCAUAGAGGCCCCUCCCAGCUCCUCCCUCACCUCCCCCAGUCUGCCGCAGCCUCAGCCUCCCCAGGGUCAGCAUCAAAGAUUCAUCAAAGCUGAAGCCCAGCAAAGUGUGCGCUUCACAUCUCUAAAUGUGCUUCUUCCCAAUGAAAAAUUCAGUGGGAAAACGCAGGGAGUUAAAGGCAGGGAAACAGGUUGGGAAAGGAAGCAGGGAGGGAAGGAAAAGAAAAGAGACCUACCUCUGAAUUGUGGUUCUGCUGAAUUCGCCCACAUUUAUGGAGCAUCUGCCUCAAGUAGGACCUUGAGCCUGACACCAAGGCAGGGCUGUAAAAUACAGUUGCCCAGGCUGUGCACUGCACAACUCCAGAAGAUUCAUUCCCAGAGACAACAGAGUGUCUCAAGGAAGACUCACAGGGUGUUAAUUGAUGUGAUAAAAAGAGAGAAAGCAGAUAACUCCUCCCACAGAAAAGCCCAAACACUGGAUUCAGGAAUAAAGAGGAAGAGGGAACUGCUUCCAGAGAGCACUCCCAUCCUUACCCUACACCCCCAUUUUGAAACAGCCUUGGGUUACUGUGCUGCAUGGAUGCGAGCCUCCCUGGAGUGAGGCUGCACUUCCUCCUGGCUGAAGACUGAGCUCAGCAGGACUCCAGCCCCACCCUUCAGAUAAGCCAGGAACACCCACACCUGGAGCUGCCCCUGAGCCAGCAAGCAGCCUCACAGCCCUGGUGUCAUUGGCUGAGACCCAGGAACCCUCAGGGAGAGCAGCUGCUCACCACAUACCACACAUCCUGCACACCAGCAUCCCUAGUCAGACUGAACCAAAAGCUCCACACAGGGGAUCACCGCCUACCAGCUCAUAAUCUGAUUCUCCAGCCACCGCACCCACCACCCUCCUUAGUGUGUCUUCUCAGUCCUGGACGCAGGCCAGUGUCUCCACCCUCCAACUCAUCCAAGACCUAACUGAUACCUUACGACAAUUUUACUGAAGGUGGAAACUAAUUGCAACUGCUACCAGAUGUUUUUGGUCUUAAAGCUCAUAGUCAAAAUCUGACCUAGAGUCUGCCCAGCUCCUAGCAGGAUUCCAGGUAGGGGGAACAGUCCUAGGAGUCUCCAGGAGUCUGCACACCUCAAAGACCACUCAUUUUGGCCCCAGAGAGAGAGAAGAAAAUCCGCCUCUCCCCAGUGCAAAGCCUGUGUCCUUUAUGGCCUCGGGACACACCUCUCCUUUUGGACAGCUCUGAGCCACACACAUGUGGCCUGAACAGCAGGGCCCAGAUGUGACAAUCAGAAGGACUCUAAAAUACAGCACAAAUGAAUGUAUCUGAGGAAACAAAAACACAACAGACUUGUGGUUGCCUGGGGGAGGGAAGGAUUGGGAGUUUGGGAUUAUCAGAUGCAAACAUACACAGGAUGGGUGCUGCUGUGCAGCGCGGGGAACCAUUCAGGAUCUUUAAUAAACCAUAAUGGAAAAGAAAAAAAAAGAAUGACUUCCCGUUUUCGGAAUAACUCUGUUGGGUGAGGGAAGCUCAACAGUAACUCAUGCCCAGUUCCACGCACAGUCACCCCGCCCCCAAGAAGAUCUGUAGGUUUGGGGGAACGCAGCUCCCACACCUAGUGAUGCCUGGUUCUUGGCUCCAGAUAUCUCGGGAGAAAACGUAAGAGAAGAGGACAGGAACAAGCCACUGUGAGAAUAUCGUAAAUCCAGGUGUUGGAUGGGGAGUGGGGUGUAGGCAGGAUCCUAACUGCACGGGACCAGACUCUCCUAACGUACCAGGUACAAGCCAGAACCUUGCAGGCUGCAGAUGCUGAUGCUGGUACACUUCACCCAUGUUUCAGAGAUUCCCCAAGAAAAAUGGACAGGCACUUGCUGCCCUGAUGAAGAGGUCACUCCCAGAACUGUCCAAGAGAUGAAUUCCAGUCUUACACUACACUGCUUCAAACGUUCACAAGCCCCCAGAGGAGUUUUUCCAGCUCCAACUUUAUUUUAAAAUCCAGGCUCUACCUACCGGGUACCCCAUUAUAAACAUGGAGAAUUGAGAAACCCCUCAUCAAAAGUAGGGAGGGAAGAGGCAGUCCACCAAAAUUCUUUUGUUCUUCAUCAUCUAGCUUUUUUCCAUCUGGGAUUCUCCUCUGGAUCCCAAUCUAUCCAUCACCAAUCAUCUAACUAUAUGUCUCUAUAUCAUCUAUCUGCUUACCUACCUACCAAUCUACUACCCCAUGCCAAUCUUAGCUGAAAUGGCCACAUUUUUCAUCAGAGAAUUUGCAGGUGCUCUCUGUAGUUGCUCACAGGCUAGUCCUUCAAUUCCGAGUCUCUACCCUGCUGAUUCCGACAGCAUUAACCCCUUCUCUUCUGAUCACUUCCAGACUUUAGUCAAUAUCCCAAACUAGGAUCAUUUGCUUUCCUUCAAAGUGUGCCUUCUGCAAAAUGUUUAUUUCUUUCUUUUUAUUUGCAUCACUUUCUUUAAUUUAGGAUUUUUUAUUUUUAAAAAUUUGAAAACUACAGGAAAAAGCCAUAGAUAACUACUCUUGGUAUCUAUUCUUAGGAAAAAAAUAGUAUCCUGUUACCAACACUCAGAAUUAAAAACACUGUUAACUUCUUGGUAUGGUUAUGUUCAGGGG
ensembl:lncRNA